AAGGAACGAGAUCAUCUUUUUUGCAGGGACAUGGAUGGAGUUGGAAGCCACCAUCCACAGCAAACUAACACAGGAACAAAAAACCAAACACCACAUGUUCUCACUUACAAGUGGGAGGUGAACUAUGAGAACUCAUGGACACAGAGAAUAGAAUGUCA